AGUUGGUCUUCUUAAGUUUAAUGUCAAAUUUACUUUUGACUUUUUUGUUAAAGAAAUAUAUUUAUAUUUUAAUCCGCAGGAUGUGCAGAGGGGGCUUCAAUCACAGGAACAGAGUGAAGCAGUCUAUAAGGCACAAGUCAAUUUUCAGCCAGUCCAAGUUAUCUCUUUUUGAUUGGUCACGGUUCAUUUACAGGUUUUCACAAGGACUGCGUUUAAGACAGAUUGACAUGAUGAUGGAUGAGAUAUCAAGGAGUCCGACCUCUCUUUCAAAGAUGGCAAAGAAGCUACGAGAAGUAUGUAUUUGGGCACUUAAUAGAAGAAGGAGAAGGAAGGGACAGCGAUUGGGUGGAAGACACGAGUAUGUGGUGAUCGACGAAAGCCACUUCAGACAUAAGAGAAAGUAUGGGAGAGGCAGAGCGGCUGGGGGGUGGAAAAGAAAAAAGUGGGUUUUUGGCAUGUUGGGCGUGAAGAAAAGUGAUGGGAAGAGUCAGAGACCAAUCCUGCGCCUGGUGGACAGGCGAACCAGACAAGAACUUGUCCCUUUGCUAUGCCGACAUGUAAAAAUGGGCUCUUACAUCAUUAGUGAUGAAUGGCGGUCAUACCGUGUACUUAAUGAUCUGGGGUUCAGACACUUGACUGUAAACCACAGUAUGUGGUAUAUGGAUCCUAUUACAGGAAACCAUACACAGCACAUUGAACGUGCUUGGCGAACUGUUAAGGAGCAGGUCUGGAGACAAAGGGGCAACCGGACAGAAGAACUGUUGUCAGACCACCUAAAUGUGAUUGAGUGGCAUGAAUGGAUUGCAAAAAAGUACCACAGUGGUCCAUUGGGUAGGAUUUUGCAUGACAUAGCAGAGAUGUACAAACAUCUCUGAAACACAUACACAGUCUUUCAUUAAAGGCACACCAGGUAACAUUUUUAGGUUAAUUUAACAGUUUCUUAGUCACUGAUGAUUAAAUGGCUAAUUACCGGGUGAAUGGAGCGUCUCUCACCCAUCUUUGCCUUGUGUGCCUUUAAGAAACCUAUUAAAUCUUAAAAAAAAGCUAUUGGAGAGUUCUUUGUUAGAGUUAUAAAUAAAAUAUUUCCAUCCCCCUUCCCAACAGUGUGUGCUGAGAUCAUUCAUUUCCAGUGUGAAAGUGAAAA